CCCCCGCCAUGGACUCUGCUCCUCAGCAGAGACUGGAGGGCCUGGCAGGUGCGGCCCAGGACGCGGUGGGGCCAGUGCGGGCGUCUCCUGCCGCCUCUGCGGGGGAAGCUGGGCCCCAGAGGACAGAAGCAGCCUUUACUGACUGAACCUGGGCCGAGUGUGACAGCAGGUGAGAAGCGUGUCCCCAUGACACCUGGGCAGGGAUGACCCCAAGUCCACUACCCGCCGACCGGGCCACCAGCACGCGGCCUGUCUACCGACACGGGAUUUCUCAGCCAUGAAAAGGAGUGGACGGCUGGAAGGCAGCAGGUGUGCUCCCCACAUCUGAGGAGCGGCAAGGUCUCGCUCCCCCCGACCCCACACCCGCCAGCCCCCCUCAAACUGCCACCCCUCAAACCGCCACGGCAGCACAGAGAUCCGCGGCCUCUCCUCCGCCGGUACCGCCCUCCGCCAGGGAAGGAGGUCGUCUGUUACGAUGGGACCACAACACGCGAUCGUCCCUAAUGGUAUAGAGAAACAUUAAAUAGUGUCCGUUUCAUAUUUUGCUUAGAAGGGAGAUCAUUCUAUUGAACUUUGAAAAGAGAAUUUUGUUUUAAAGAUUUUAAGUCCUCUCUACACCAAACAACGGGGCUUGAACCCACAGCCCCGAGAUCGAGGGGUGCUCGCUCCCCUAAGCCAGCCGGCACCCCUGCAGGAUCCGAUUCCAGGAUCAUGUUGAGGGAUGGGGGAGCUGGGGGCCGGAGGGGGCGUGGGCAGGGUAGCCUGUGGUGUGAGAAUUCUGGAUCCUUGAAGAGGCUGGGGUCCUCUGGGGCUGCUGGGGACAAGGAGAGCGGUGGGCCCGCCAGUGACCUCCUGGCCCUGGGUCAUCGCCAGUCCCCGCCCCACUCCAUCCAGUCAGGAUGGGAUGAGUUCAUCUCUUUAUAAAUAGCUGGGGUUUGGUUUGGUUUGGUUUUUAAGUAACCCACAGACCACAGCACAAACUCAAACUCGCAGGGUAGGGAAGGCUUCUCAGGGAACAGCGCGCCUCCCUCCAAACAGACCCUCCCCCGGAGACAGCCCGGCCCACCAGACCCAGUAAUCUCUACACCUAACAUGGGGCUCCAGGUCAUGAGCCCGAGACCAAGAGUCGCUCACCAUUCUGACCGAGCUGGCCGGCGUCCCCCGCUUGGGUCCACGAGCAGUCUUACUGAGGUGUGACGCGCGAGGAAGCUCGCACUUCCACAGGACACGGUCUCACAAGUUUGGACGUGUCCAUACACUCAUGAAACCAUCACCCCAGGCAAGACAGUGCAUAUAUCCAACACCCCAGAGGUUUCCUCCUGUCCCUCCCAUCCUGGGAAACCACUGAUCUACUUUCAUCACUGCAGAUUUCUGUAAUUUUAUGUAAAUAAAACCAUAUAACAUGUA